AAUCAACGCUGGCGGCGUGCCUAACACAUGCAAGUCGAGCGCGAAAGGGGGCAACCCCGAGUAGAGCGGCGAACGGGUGAGUAACGCGUGGGUGAUUUGCCUCCGAGUGGGGAACGAACACCGGGAAACUGGUGCUAAUACCGCAUGACAUCUUCGGGUCGUACCGGAGAUCAAAGCUGGGGACCGCAAGGCCUAGCGCUUGGAGAGAAGCCCGCGUCCGAUUAGCUAGUUGGUGGGGUAACGGCUUACCAAGGCGACGAUCGGUAGCUGGUCUGAGAGGACGACCAGCCACACUGGGACUGAGACACGGCCCAGACUCCUACGGGAGGCAGCAGUGGGGAAUAAUUGGACAAUGGGGGAAACCCUGAUCCAGCGACGCCGCGUGAGUGAAGAAGGCCUUAGGGUUGUAAAGCUCUUUCGUCGGGGAAGAUGAUGACGGUACCCGGAGAAGAAGCCCCGCUAACUCCGUG
rnacentral:rRNA from 1 species